rnacentral:lncRNA from 1 species
CCUUUAUAAAUGAUCCAGUCUUUGGAAUGUCUUCAUUGCAGUGUGAAAACAGACUAAUACAAUAAAACAAGAGCCUGGCACCCAGCAUGGGUCAUUUCCAGCACAAGUAUCAUAACAUGACUUAGAGCACACCUGUCUCACAGAGAUCCCUGGUCCGAGAAAGGAAGAUAAGUAGAAACAUGAAGGGUAAGACAAGUCUCCCUGAGCCUCAAAAAUCAGAAUGAAUGGCCUCAGCCCAUCCCAAACCAAGAUGAGGAGAAAUUCAGGAGACUGAAAAAUCAAGAUCAGAAAAUAACAUGACCAAAAAAAAAAAAAAAAAAAAAAAAAGAAAACAACAGAAGAGAAUCCUGCAAUCAAAGACAAGAAUCAGG